GGUUAGCUCAGUUGGAUAGAGCGCUGGCCUCCGGAGCCAGAGGCCGCAGGUUCGACUCCUGCACCG
rnacentral:tRNA from 1 species